GCCUACGGGUGGCUGCAGUGAGGAAUAUUGGUCAAUGGAGGCAACUCUGAACCAGCCAAGUCGCGUGAAGGAUGAAGGUCUUAUGGAUUGUAAACUUCUUUUGCAGGGGAAUAAAUAGCGGUACGUGUACCGUUUUGCAUGUACCCUGCGAAUAAGGAUCGGCUAACUCCGUGCCAGCAGCCGCGGUAAUACGGAGGAUCCGAGCGUUAUCCGGAUUUAUUGGGUUUAAAGGGUGCGCAGGCGGGAGAGUAAGUCGGCGGUGGAAUUUUGCAGCUCAACUGUAAAAGUGCCUGCUAUACUGGUUUCCUUGAGUGUGGAUGAAGUAGGCGGAAUUUGUGGUGUAGCGGUGAAAUGCUUAGAUAUCACGAGGAACUCCGAUUGCGCAGGCAGCUUACUAAACCACUACUGACGCUCAGGCACGAAGGCGUGGGGAUCAAACAGGAUUCGAUACCCUAGUAGUCAUG
rnacentral:rRNA from 1 species